AGUGAAGUUGUGUGAUUUGUUUUAUUUUAUCUCAUUAGUGUUUCUUCAGGUUUAAAUGUGUAAUAACGGUGGUUUCUUAACUAUUUAGUAUCUGUAAAGUGCACAAAUGUGGGAAAAUAAAACAAAGCUACUGAACGUAACUUCUCGGGAUCUUCCAAAAAGUCCAGUGUAAAAGUCUCAGUAAAUGACCACCAUUUUACUGAGAUUAUACUUCAUCCCAUAUCAUCUCAUCACAUUUCAUUUCGUUUUCAUUUCACUUCAUGUCAUCUUUCAUAAUAUUUAACUUCAUUUCAUCUCAUAAUAUCAUUUUCAUAUAAAAAGUUACGUAUUUUUUUAAUUAAAAUAAGACUUGACCUAAAGGUCUUAGUUACCAGGUCAUAAAAUCCCAUAUAAAAAUGACUUUUAGUGAUUCCCAUAGAGUUCUUAUUAACUCCAUGGUGAUUCCUUUCAACAUUCUAAAUGAAAAUCGAUUCUGAUCUAAGAAUGAUUUGCAAAUAUGUUAUCAAACCGAGAUGGUUAACACUGUGCAACAUGAAUUUUCCUGCCGAUGCAAAUUUUCAAAAAAAGUGGAUAGUUGCAGUUAAGUAAAUGCAGAAAAGACAGGAAUAUAACUGGAUGCCUGUGGAAACCAGCAGAGUAUGCUCUAUUCACGCUAUCAAACAUGCUGGACGCUAGCCUUCAAUUGCCAGAAACAGUGGAGCAAACUGUAGGCUAUAUAGCCGGCACUGUAAGCCGAAAACUGCAAGCGAAAAUCAAUUGUCCAGAAUGCUUAUCAUUGCUACCUGUUAAUGAAAAAUUGAAUUUUCACAAUCUAAUUAGUUUGAAAGAUUUCGGUGGACUCUCGUACCCAUCUGUGGUGUUGUAUAAAAUAUGCACACGCACAGAAACACUAAUAAGACAGAAAAUAAAAAUACGUGAUAACGGAAAAUCACUUACUCGAACAAUUAUUCUGUCAGUAAUAUCUACAGUGUUUUUCUAAAAUAAUUGACAAUGAAGAUAUUCUGCGCUUACUAAAAAACAGUCACCAGACAAAUAAUGACCAUUUAAUUUAUUAUAUAAAAUGUGUAAUGGUUGAAUUUCUCAGAAUCCGUUCUUUACUCUUUAUUCUACACACACAGUUAAUACAAUAUAAUAAUUGCGAAAAGUUAUAAAAAUUGCGAGAUUAACUCAACAAUUGAGUUAUCUACCAGCUACCCGUUCGUAAAGAGGAUCGUCCGUCUUCCCUACAUUGCGAAACAAUUAUUUUUUAAUGUCUUCUAGGCAAAAACUUAAUAAAUUAAAAAUAUUUCGAGGGACGUAGAGUUUAUUACAAAAAAAACAAAUAUAUAAAAAUUAUACAAUUA